rnacentral:rRNA from 1 species
UGGGGAAUAUUGGACAAUGGGCGAAAGCCUGAUCCAGCCAUGCCGCGUGUGUGAAGAAGGUCUUCGGAUUGUAAAGCACUUUAAGUUGGGAGGAAGGGCAUUAACCUAAUACGUUAGUGUUUUGACGUUACCGACAGAAUAAGCACCGGCUAACUCUGUGCCAGCAGCCGCGGUAAUACAGUGGGUGCAAGCGAUAAUCGGAAUUACUGGGCGUAAAGCGCGCGUAGGUGGUUUGUUAAGUUGGAUGUGAAAUCCCCGGGCUCAACCUGGGAACUGCAUUCAAAACUGACUGACUAGAGUAUGGUAGAGGGUGGUGGAAUUUCCUGUGUAGCGGUGAAAUGCGUAGAUAUAGGAAGGAACACCAGUGGCGAAGGCGACCACCUGGACUAAUACUGACACUGAGGUGCGAAAGCGUGGGGAGCAAACA